AGCGAACGCUGGCGGCAUGCCUAACACAUGCAAGUCGAACGAAGGCUUCGGCCUUAGUGGCGCACGGGUGCGUAACGCGUGGGAGUCUGCCCUUUGGUUCGGAAUAACAGCUGGAAACGGCUGCUAAUACCGGAUGAUGACGAAAGUCCAAAGAUUUAUCGCCAGAGGAUGAGCCCGCGUUGGAUUAGGUAGUUGGUGGGGUAAAGGCCUACCAAGCCGACGAUCCAUAGCUGGUCUGAGAGGAUGAUCAGCCACACUGGGACUGAGACACGGCCCAGACCCUUACGGGAGGAGGCAGUGGGGAAUAUGGACCAAGGGCCGAAGGCCUAACCAAGCAAGGCGGCGGAAUUAAUGAAGGCCUAGGGUUGUAAAGCUCUUUUACCCGGGAAGAUAAUGACUGUACCGGGAGAAUAAGCCCCGGCUAACUCCGUG
rnacentral:rRNA from 1 species